rnacentral:rRNA from 1 species
GAUGAACGCUGGCGGCGUGCCUAAUACAUGCAAGUCGAACGAAACUUCUUUAUCACCGAGUGCUUGCACUCACCGAUAAAGAGUUGAGUGGCGAACGGGUGAGGAACACGAGGGCAACCUGCCCAAAAGAGGGGGAUAACACUUGGAAACAGGUGCUAAUACCACAUAACCAUAGUUACCGCAUGGUAACGAUGGAAAAGGUGGCUAUACUACCGCUUCUGGAUGGGCCCGCGGCGCUUUAGCAAGUUGGUAGGGUAAAGGCUUACCAAGGGAAUGAUGCGUAGCCGAAUUGAGGGUUGAUCGGCCACAUUGGGACUGAGACACGGCCCAAACUCCUACGGGAGGCAGCAGUAGGGAAUCUUCCGCAAUGGGCGAAAGCCUGAUGGAGCAACGCCGCGUGGGUGAAGAAGGUCUUCGGAUCGUAAAACCCUGUUGUUAGAGAAGAAAGUGCGUGGGAGUAACUGUUCACGUUUCGACGGUAUCUAACCAGAAAGCCACUGCUAACUACGUG